rnacentral:siRNA from 1 species
UCGAGGUUUGUCAUAUCACUUGCC